AGGACACAUGGGGCAGCUGGAUUGAUGGAAGCUCCCUGAGGGAAAGUUGUGGCAAUUCAGCAUCAGAAGAGUUGCUUAUUCCAGCUCAAUGUUAUCGAUGGGAAGAGCCAGUAUAAUGCUCCACAUGAGAAGCUAUGGUUUUCUUUGUGUAGGAUUGUAAGUAUCAUGGUGUGGAACAAGUGCAGUUUAACACAUACUUCAACCAGGAGAAUGCUGGACAUUGAUGGCUUAUUUAAGCCACUAAGCAUGGGAACUUUUUGCCCGUACACACUAUUCCGACUCUUGAUUUUUGCAAUCAUUAUUAACAUGUAGAGAAGUCUUGACUUCAACACAACAAGAGCAAUAAAACUUGUUUUGAUUCUG